rnacentral:rRNA from 1 species
UACGUAGGGUGCGAGCGUUAAUCGGAAUUACUGGGCGUAAAGCGUGCGCAGGCGGUUCGUUGUGUCGGCGGGGAAAGCCCCGGGCUUAACCUGGGAAUGGCCGUUGAAACUGGCGAACUGGAGUGCCGGAGAGGAGGGUGGGAUUCUCGAAGUAGAGGUGAAAUUCGUAGAUAUCGGGAGGAACACCGGUGGCGAAGGCGACCCUCUGGACGGACACUGACGCUGAGACGCGAAAGCGUGGGUAGCAAACAGG